UCUCGCCCGCUCCAUGGAGGUCACGAUUUCCAUGGCUGAGCGAUCUUUCAAUCUGGUCGUGCCGCUGGCCCACGAAGCCACCGACAUGCGCACCACGGAUACCGCCGGCUCAACGCCGGGACGGUCUGGCGCAGUUUCCCGGCCGAGCAUUUGGCCGGGCGACGUAGAUUGCACGACGGGUAC
rnacentral:ncRNA from 1 species